ACGCACGCUGGCGGCGUGCCUAAUACAUGCAAGUCGAGCGGACGGAUGGGAGCUUGCUCCCAGACCGUCAGCGGCGGACGGGUGAGUAACACGUGGGCAACCUGCCUGUAAGACUGGGAUAACUCCGGGAAACCGGGGCUAAUACCGGAUAACUCUUUCCCUCACAUGAGGGAAAGCUGAAAGAUGGCAUCUCGCUAUCACUUACAGAUGGGCCCGCGGCGCAUUAGCUAGUUGGUGAGGUAACGGCUCACCAAGGCGACGAUGCGUAGCCGACCUGAGAGGGUGAUCGGCCACACUGGGACUGAGACACGGCCCAGACUCCUACGGGAGGCAGCAGUAGGGAAUCUUCCGCAAUGGACGAAAGUCUGACGGAGCAACGCCGCGUGAGUGAUGAAAGUUUUCGGAUCGUAAAACUCUGUUGUCAGGGAAGAACAAGUACCGGAGUAACUGCCGGUACCUUGACGGUACCUGACCAGAAAGCCACGGCUAACUACGUG
rnacentral:rRNA from 1 species